rnacentral:rRNA from 1 species
UACGUAGGGUGCGAGUGUUAAUCGGAUUUACUGGGCGUAAAGCGUGCGCAGGCGGCCCGUUAAGACAGGUGUGAAAUCCCUGGGCUCAACCUAGGAAUUGCGCUUGUGACUGGCGGGCUCGAGUACGGUAGAGGGGGGUGGAAUUCCUGGUGUAGCAGUGAAAUGCGUAGAGAUCAGGAGGAACACCGAUGGCGAAGGCAGCCCCCUGGGCCUGUACUGACGCUCAUGCACGAAAGCGUGGGGAGCAAACAGG